rnacentral:lncRNA from 1 species
UUCAGGAUUGGGAUCCCAUACUUUCAUUCCUCGAAAAGGCGAUAACAAACUUUUGGAAUAAAAAUGUAUCUUAUGGUAACAACAGAACUCAUGAAAAUGAUAUAUUUGAAUAAACCUUGAUUUGACAGUUUAUUAUUGAAUUUAUGGUUACUGAUUAUGUUUCUCCAGGAAAUUGCCUCAGUUAUGGUGCUGAUAUAUUAGUAAAUGAUGAUAUGUGGAAG